rnacentral:rRNA from 1 species
UGGAUGGACCCGCGGCGUAUUAGCUAGUUGGUGAGGUAAAGGCUCACCAAGGCAGUGAUACGUAGCCGACCUGAGAGGGUAAUCGGCCACAUUGGGACUGAGACACGGCCCAGACUCCUACGGGAGGCAGCAGUAGGGAAUCUUCCACAAUGGACGCAAGUCUGAUGGAGCAACGCCGCGUGAGUGAAGAAGGGUUUCGGCUCGUAAAGCUCUGUUGUUAAAGAAGAACGUGGGUAAGAGUAACUGUUUACCCAGUGACGGUAUUUAACCAGAAAGCCACGGCUAACUACGUGCCAGCAGCCGCGGUAAUACGUAGGUGGCAAGCGUUAUCCGGAUUUAUUGGGCGUAAAGCGAGCGCAGGCGGUCUUUUAAGUCUAAUGUGAAAGCCUUCGGCUCAACCGAAGAAGUGCAUUGGAAACUGGGAGACUUGAGUGCAGAAGAGGACAGUGGAACUCCAUGUGUAGCGGUGAAAUGCGUAGAUAUAUGGAAGAACACCAGUGGCGAAGGCGGCUGUCUGGUCUGCAACUGACGCUGAGGCUCGAAAGCAUGGGUAGCGAACAGGAUUAGAUACCCUGGUAGUCCAUGCCGUAAACGAUGAUUACUAAGUGUUGGAGGGUUUCCGCCCUUCAGUGCUGCAGCUAACGCAUUAAGUAAUCCGCCUGGGGAGUACGACCGCAAGGUUGAAACUCAAAAGAAUUGACGGGGGCCCGCACAAGCGGUGGAGCAUGUGGUUUAAUUCGAAGCUACGCGAAGAACCUUACCAGGUCUUGACAUCUUCUGACAGUCUAAGAGAUUAGAGGUUCCCUUCGGGGACAGAAUGACAGGUGGUGCAUGGUUGUCGUCAGCUCGUGUCGUGAGAUGUUGGGUUAAGUCCCGCAACGAGCGCAACCCUUAUUACUAGUUGCCAGCAUUAAGUUGGGCACUCUAGUGAGACUGCCGGUGACAAACCGGAGGAAGGUGGGGACGACGUCAAAUCAUCAUGCCCCUUAUGACCUGGGCUACACACGUGCUACAAUGGAUGGUACAACGAGUCGCGAGACCGCGAGGUUAAGCUAAUCUCUUAAAACCAUUCUCAGUUCGGACUGUAGGCUGCAACUCGCCUACACGAAGUCGGAAUCGCUAGUAAUCGCGGAUCAGCAUGCCGCGGUGAAUACGUUCCCGGGCCUUGUACACACCGCCCGUCACACCAUGAGAGUUUGUAACACCCAAAGCCGGUGGGGUAACCUUUUAGGAGCUAGCCGUCUAAGGUGGGACAGAUGAUUAGGGUGAAGUCGUAACAAGGUAGCCGUAGGAGAACCUGCGGCUGGAUCACCUCCUUU